CGGCAGAUAGCUUAGUUAGUUGGAGCGUCCCUCUGGGAGGGGGAAGGUCCCGAGUUCAACCCUCAGUUAGCCCA
rnacentral:tRNA from 1 species